rnacentral:rRNA from 1 species
CUAAGUUUGAUGGCGACCGGCGCACGGGUGAGUAACACGUAUCCAACCUGCCGAUAACUCGGGGAUAGCCUUUCGAAAGAAAGAUUAAUACCCGAUGGCAUAAUAGAACCGCAUGGUUUGAUUAUUAAAGAAUUUCGGUCAUCGAUGGGGAUGCGUUCCAUUAGGUUGUUGGCGGGGUAACGGCCCACCAAGCCUUCGAUGGAUAGGGGUUCUGAGAGGAAGGUCCCCCACAUUGGAACUGAGACACGGUCCAAACUCCUACGGGAGGCAGCAUG